rnacentral:rRNA from 1 species
ACCGGAUAGGACGAAAGUCUAAAGGUGCUUCUGGCACCGCUGAUGGAUGAGCCUGCGGCGCAUUAGCUAGUUGGUAGGGUAAAGGCCUACCAAGGCGACGAUGCGUAGCCGACCUGAGAGGGUGAACGGCCACACUGGGACUGAGACACGGCCCAGACUCCUACGGGAGGCAGCAGUAGGGAAUCUUCGGCAAUGGGCGAAAGCCUGACCGAGCAACGCCGCGUGGAUGAUGAAGGCCUUCGGGUUGUAAAAUUCUGUUAUAAGGGAAGAACGACUCUAGUAGGAAAUGGCUAGAGUGUGACGGUACCUUAUGAGAAAGCCACGGCUAACUACGUGCCAGCAGCCGCGGUAAUACGUAGGUGGCGAGCGUUAUCCGGAAUUAUUGGGCGUAAAGAGCGCGCAGGUGGUUGAUUAAGUCUGAUGUGAAAGCCCACGGCUUAACCGUGGAGGGUCAUUGGAAACUGGUCAACUUGAGUGCAGAAGAGGGAAGUGGAAUUCCAUAUGUAGCGGUGAAAUGCGUAGAGAUAUGGAGGAACACCAGUGGCGAAGGCGGCUUCCUGGUCUGUAACUGACACUGAGGCGCGAAAGCGUGGGGAGCAAAUAAGAUUAGAUACCCUGGUAGUCCACGCCGUAAACGAUGAGUGCUAGGUGUUAGGCCCUUUCCGGGGCUUAGUGCCGCAGGUACGGCUUUAAGCCCUCCGCCUGGGGAGUUCGACCGCAAGGUUGAAACUCAAAGGAAUGGACGGGGGCCCGCACAAGCGGUGGAGCAUGUGGUUUAAUUCGAAGCAACGGGAAGAACCUUACCAGGGUCUUGACAUCCCGAUGCUAUUCCUAGAGAUAGGAAGUUUCUUCGGAACAUCGGUGACAGGUGGUGCAUGGUUGUCGUCAGCUCGUGUCGUGAGAUGUUGGGUUAAGUCCCGCAACGAGCGCAACCCCUAUUGUUAGUUGCUACCAUUAAGUUGAGCACUCUAGCGAGACUGCCUGGGUUAACCAGGAGGAAGGUGGGGAUGACGUCAAAUCAUCAUGCCCCUUAUGUCUAGGGCUACACACGUGCUACAAUGGCAAGUACAGAGAGAUGCAAUACGAAAGAGGUGGAGCUAAACUUCAAAACUUGUCUCAGUUCGGAUUGUAGGCUGAAACUCGCCUACAUGA